AUCAAAUUCGUCUCUCUCUCUCUCUCACCAUCUUCUAUCCUUAAUUCUACUCUCUCUCUCAAGCUCCAUCUCCUCGCCACCACCACCUUCUCCAAUAUCACCACCAUCUCCCGCCACCACCACAAUCGCUGCCCCUACCAGCACUAGGAUCUUGGUGGAGCUCUGUAGUUGUCGUACGCAGUUCGAGCCGAAUCGCAUUUCUGCUUAAUGUCUUCGCACAUUUUCACUGAAGAUUCGGAGAAUUUAGUCAGCCUGUCAAGAACCCUCGUCAGGCUCGCUUGUAUGCAGCUUAUGUUUGAAGGUCGGACAGAAAAGCUUUGAUAGCGUCGCUGACUUCUUGAGACGGCAGUGACUUGAUCCCGGCUGACCAGUCCCGACAGAGGACAAAUAUGGGCGGGGCCAGAUAUCGGCGUGGGGAGAAUGCCCGUCUGCCUUUGUACCGC